rnacentral:rRNA from 1 species
CAAGUCGAGCGGCAGCGCGGGGCAACCUGGCGGCGAGCGGCGAACGGGUGAGUAAUGCAUCGGAACAUGUCCAUGUCGUGGGGGAUAGCCCGGCGAAAGCCGGAUUAAUACCGCAUACGCCCGAGAGGGGAAAGUGGGGGACCGCAAGGCCUCACGCGAUUGGGUUGGCCGAUGUCCGAUUAGCUAGUUGGCGGGGUAAGAGCCCACCAAGGCGAUGAUCGGUAGCUGGUCUGAGAGGAUGAUCAGCCACACUGGGACUGAGACACGGCCCAGACUCCUACGGGAGGCAGCAGUGGGGAAUUUUGGACAAUGGGGGCAACCCUGAUCCAGCCAUUCCGCGUGAGUGAAGAAGGCCUUCGGGUUGUAAAGCUCUUUUGUCCGGAACGAAACGGUGCUCGUGAAUAUCGAGCGCUACUGACGGUACCGGAAGAAUAAGCACCGGCUAACUACGUGCCAGCAGCCGCGGUAAUACGUAGGGUGCGAGCGUUAAUCGGAAUUACUGGGCGUAAAGCGUGCGCAGGCGGUUUUGUAAGCCAGAUGUGAAAUCCCCGGGCUUAACCUGGGAAUGGCAUUUGGGACUGCAAGGCUGGAGUUUGGCAGAGGAGACUGGAAUUCCCGGUGUGGCAGUGAAAUGCGUAGAUAUCGGGAGGAAUACCGAUGGCGAAGGCAGGUCUCUGGGCUAUAACUGACGCUCAUGCACGAAAGCGUGGGGAGCAAACAGGAUUAGAUACCCUGGUAGUCCACGCCCUAAACGAUGUCGACUGGUUGUUUGGGGGUUUGACACUCUCAGU